CUACGGGCCGCUCCAGUGGGGAAUAUUGCACAAUGGGGGAAACCCUGAUGCAGCAACGCCGCGUGGAGGAUGACGCAUUUCGGUGUGUAAACUCCUUUUAUAUCCCAAGAUAAUGACGGUAGGAUAUGAAUAAGCACCGGCUAACUCCGUGCCAGCAGCCGCGGUAAUACGGAGGGCGCAAGCGUUACUCGGAAUCACUGGGCGUAAAGGGCGCGUAGGCGGGUUGUCAAGUCUUGAGUGAAAUCCAACGGCUCAACCGUUGAACUGCUUGAGAAACUGGCAGCCUAGAGUGAGGGAGAGGUAGAUGGAAUUGGUGGUGUAGGGGUAAAAUCCGUAGAGAUCACCAGGAAUACCCAUUGCGAAGGCGAUCUGCUGGAACUCUACUGACGCUGAGGCGCGAAAGCGUGGGGAGCAAACAGGAUUAGAUACCCUCGUAGUC
rnacentral:rRNA from 1 species